UGGGGAAUAUUGCACAAUGGGCGCAAGCCUGAUGCAGCCAUGCCGCGUGUGUGAAGAAGGCCUUCGGGUUGUAAAGCACUUUCAGCGAGGAGGAAGGGUAGUGUGUUAAUAGCACAUUGCAUUGACGUUACUCGCAGAAGAAGCACCGGCUAACUCCGUGCCAGCAGCCGCGGUAAUACGGAGGGUGCAAGCGUUAAUCGGAAUUACUGGGCGUAAAGCGCACGCAGGCGGUUUGUUAAGUCAGAUGUGAAAUCCCCGCGCUUAACGUGGGAACUGCAUUCGAAACUGGCAGGCUAGAGUCUUGUAGAGGGGGGUAGAAUUCCAGGUGUAGCGGUGAAAUGCGUAGAGAUCUGGAGGAAUACCGGUGGCGAAGGCGGCCCCCUGGACAAAGACUGACGCUCAGGUGCGAAAGCGUGGGGAGCAAACA
rnacentral:rRNA from 1 species